GAUGAACGCUGGCGGCGUGCCUAAUACAUGCAAGUCGAGCAAACGGACGAGAAGCUUGCUUCUCUGAUGUUAGCGGCGGACGGGUGAGUAACACGUGGAUAACCUACCUAUAAGACUGGGAUAACUUCGGGAAACCGGAGCUAAUACCGGAUAAUAUUUUGAACCGCAUGGUUCAAAAGUGAAAGACGGUCUUGCUGUCACUUAUAGAUGGAUCCGCGCUGCAUUAGCUAGUUGGUAAGGUAACGGCUUACCAAGGCAACGAUGCAUAGCCGACCUGAGAGGGUGUUCGGCCACACUGGAACUGAGACACGGUCCAGACUCCUACGGGAGGCAGCAGUAGGGAAUCUUCCGCAAUGGGCGAAAGCCUGACGGAGCAACGCCGCGUGAGUGAUGAAGGUCUUCGGAUCGUAAAACUCUGUUAUUAGGGAAGAACAUAUGUGUAAGUAACUGUGCACAUCUUGACGGUACCUAAUCAGAAAGCCACGGCUAACUACGUG
rnacentral:rRNA from 1 species